AGAGUUUGAUCAUGGCUCAGGACGAANNCUGGCGGCGUGCUUAACACAUGCAAGUCGUGGGGGGGUGCUGGGCAACCAGUGCCUCACCGGCGAACGGGUGCGUAACACGUGAGCAACCUACCGAUGUCUGGGGGAUAGCCGGCCCAACGCCGGGUAAUACCGCAUACGCUCGCUUUGGGACAUCCCGAGGCGAGGAAACCUCCGGGGGAGAUCGUGGGGCUCGCGGCCUAUCAGCUAGUUGGCGGGGUAACGGCCCACCAAGGCGAUGACGGGUAGCUGGUCUGAGAGGAUGGCCAGCCACAUUGGGACUGAGAGACGGCCCAGACUCCUACGGGAGGCAGCAGUGGGGAAUCUUGCGCAAUGGCCGAAAGGCUGACGCAGCGACGCCGCGUGCGGAGGGAAGCUCUUCGGGGUGUAAACCGCUGUUGCCCGGAACGAAACUCUGCUUUCGAGCGGAUUGACGGUACCGGGUGAGGAAGCGCCGGCUAACUCUGUGCCAGCAGCCGCGGUAAUACAGAGGGCGCGAGCGUUGUCCGGAAUCACUGGGCGUAAAGGGCGCGUAGGUGGCCACCAUAAGGCCGCGGUGAAAGUUUGGGGCUCAACCCCAGAUCGGCCGCGGCGACUGUGGGGCUGGGGCACUGUAGAGGCAGAUGGAAUUCCGGGUGUAGCGGUGGAAUGCGUAGAGAUCCGGAAGAACACCAGUGGCGAAGGCGGUCUGCUGGGCAGUGGGAGCUUCGGCUCUCUUUAGCCGACACUGAGGCGCGACAGCGUGGGGAGCAAACAGGAUUAGAUACCCUAGUAGUCC
rnacentral:rRNA from 1 species